GACCGGAUGAUGAGCCAGGCUGGUGCGGAGAAGCAACGAGCUCGCAAAGGAAGCAGCUGAAGAGCUAGAGACAAACCGCACCAUGACGGAAGCCUGAUCCAGAUACGCCGCGUUAUGCAGGAAAGUUUGCACUUGUAAACCUCCAGACGC
rnacentral:rRNA from 1 species